rnacentral:rRNA from 1 species
UUAGAGUUUGAUCAUGGCUCAGAUUGAACGCUGGCGGCAGGCCUAACACAUGCAAGUCGAGCGGAUGACGGGAGCUUGCUCCUUGAUUCAGCGGCGGACGGGUGAGUAAUGCCUAGGAAUCUGCCUGGUAGUGGGGGACAACGUUUCGAAAGGAACGCUAAUACCGCAUACGUCCUACGGGAGAAAGCAGGGGACCUUCGGGCCUUGCGCUAUCAGAUGAGCCUAGGUCGGAUUAGCUAGUUGGUGGGGUAAUGGCUCACCAAGGCGACGAUCCGUAACUGGUCUGAGAGGAUGAUCAGUCACACUGGAACUGAGACACGGUCCAGACUCCUACGGGAGGCAGCAGUGGGGAAUAUUGGACAAUGGGCGAAAGCCUGAUCCAGCCAUGCCGCGUGUGUGAAGAAGGUCUUCGGAUUGUAAAGCACUUUAAGUUGGGAGGAAGGGCAGUAAGUUAAUACCUUGCUGUUUUGACGUUACCGACAGAAUAAGCACCGGCUAACUCUGUGCCAGCAGCCGCGGUAAUACAGAGGGUGCAAGCGUUAAUCGGAAUUACUGGGCGUAAAGCGCGCGUAGGUGGUUCGUUAAGUUGGAUGUGAAAGCCCCGGGCUCAACCUGGGAACUGCAUCCAAAACUGGCGAGCUAGAGUACGGUAGAGGGUGGUGGAAUUUCCCGUGUAGCGGUGAAAUGCGUAGAUAUAGGAAGGAACACCAGUGGCGAAGGCGACCACCUGGACUGAUACUGACACUGAGGUGCGAAAGCGUGGGGAGCAAACAGGAUUAGAUACCCUGUAGUCCACGCCGUAACGAUGUCACUAGCCGUUGGAAUCCUUGAGAAUUUUAGUGGCGCAGCUACCGCAUUAAGUUUGACCGCCUGGGAGUACCGGCCGCAAGGUUAAAACUCAAUGAAUU